AGAAAAAAAGCAAAAGAAAGACCCCAACAAGGUGAUACCUUUCCUCCAUCCAGCUCUCAAAUUGCUGUUUCUUCAUCAAUAAAAGUACAUCAAUGCAUUGCUGUUUGUAAAUGGACUUCUUCAUAUCCUGCAUUUGCUAGCACCCGGAGUGAUCAAAAUCAGAGCAGACUGUGUUGUUACUCAUCUUCAUCAUGUCAGAGCUGCCUCAGGAUCUACCUGAUGAUCAUAUGUUAUAGAUACCAAUACUUAUCAGCAAGUGGAAAAAUUUGGAGAUUUUAAGGCUUGGAGGCACCUUUCAAAUGCAAGAAGUCCUUGCCCAAAUCAACAUUCACUGCAAGAACUUUAUUGGAUUGGCUAUUGCAAGAACCCACGUUGAGCAAGAUGAAACAUCAGCUAUUGUCACCCUACUCCCAAACAUAAAGCAAUUGUUUCAUCUUGCUUAGUGAUGAAUUUUUCAAACUUACAAUUAAUGAUUGGCUUAGUGAUGAUUUUGCAGGGCUGCAAAGAACUUGAGUAUUUUGAUGUUAGGCACUGCAUAGGUUUCAACGAGGGUGAUGAUGAGAUAUUGAAGCUUGCUUCUCACAUCCAAACAUUCAAGGAUGAGGGUUCGAUGUUGUAUGAUUAUGAUGAUGACUACUGCCCUACGUAUCGUGUAGACGGCUUCCAUGAUGGAGACUUCUCUGACUAAAGUGUAUUGUAUAAUGUGUUUGCUUGGGAUUGUCAACCUAGACUCAGAUUUAGAAACUCUCCAUUGUGUUGUCUGUAAUGGAUUGUUAUGUAAUGGAAAUAUCUAGGCACUAGCUUGUGCCGCUCUUGAAUUGCUUGAUUUUA